rnacentral:rRNA from 2 species
CCACACGACUCUCGGCAACGGAUAUCUCGGCUCUCGCAUCGAUGAAGAACGUAGCGAAAUGCGAUACCUGGUGUGAAUUGCAGAAUCCCGCGAACCAUCGAGUCUUUGAACGCAAGUUGCGCCCGAGGCCAUUCGGCCGAGGGCACGCCUGCCUGGGCGUCACGC